CUGCGGAUUUUUGGGCGGUGUUCUGGGGGUUCACAGGGAGGAGUCCGUGGUUGGGAGGUGGUAAUUUGGAUAGCUGGUAGUGAUUAGGCACCGUGGAAAGAGCAACAUCCCGGGCUCCGAAGGCAGGGGUUCGAGCCCCUUUGAAUUUUUUUUUAAUUAUAGUUGAUUUCCAGUGUUGUGCCAAUUUCUGCUGUGCCUUCUCAGCAAAGUGACCCAGUCAUACAUAUAUAUUUGCGUUUCCUUCCACGUGGUCUAUCCUAAAAGACUGGAUAUAGUUGCCUGUGCUGUACAGAAGGACCUCAUUGCUUAUCCAUUCUAAAUGAAAUAGUUUGCAUCCACUAACCCCAAACUCUCAUUGCCCCCACUCCCCACUGCCUUGGCAACUGUUCUCUAUGUCGGUGUGACUUUUAGAUUUUACGGUGGAGCUGACCACGACCUGGAGAACUGACAGUGCUUAUGCCAGGUCUCAGAGUGAUGAGAUGUCAGAGCUAUAAGCAGAUUCAUUCACCACAUUCCGUAGUGAAAGCCACCUCGGUCCACUGCGGCAUAUGCGCUCUGCGGUGGGACAGAGGGAGCAGUCGCGCCAGGGUCGCGGGUCACCAUGGUUUCCCCUCCGGUGUGAGUGCUGAGAUGAGGCCGGCUCUCCAUGGAUAGGACCAAGACAUGUUGGAGGUAAAGAAGGCAGCAGCCUCUGGCUUUCCCCCUGUGUGAUGAUAUUUCGGGGCGACGGUCAGGAGAAGGCCCGGGGCGGAGCAGAGGGGAUGGUGAGAGUCUUCUUUUGUCCUUGAAGAGCUCAUGAAGUGCUGAUUCCUAGAAUAUGUCUGCACACUUCUUUCGUUCACUUUUGAAUCCCCCAGAGUUGUGUCUGGGACCCUGGCAGGACAGCAAGUCUCUUCACAGCAGCCACAGUGAUCUAGAAUGAUUUAUGACCUGUUGCCUUGAAAAGCACACGCCCAGCGUCAGGCUGGGUGUGUCCUGGAAGAUACCGUGGUCUCCAUCCCAGGAAGGACUUAAGCGAGGGUGCAGACCACUCCUUAGACACCCAUUCAGGGCCGCAGGGAGGAGGGCUGAAGCCCUGAGCCUUCUCAGGAGUUCCUGUGUUCACUGACAUUUCCUCUAGGGAAAGGAGGGGGCAGAAAUCGGUACCUGUAGGGCUAACCUGGAUGUAAAGUGCUGUUACUGUCUAUGCAGAAAGGACCGAGUCUUCAGAAGCAGAGCUUAAAGCAUAAUUGCAAACUCCUUGACAUUUUCUAUUUUGAUUUUAAUUUCCAAAAAUGUGUAUAUAAUUUAGUAAUAGCAAAU
rnacentral:lncRNA from 1 species